rnacentral:rRNA from 1 species
GAUCGUGAGCGCGACGCGUGGACGCGGGGAGAGGAGAGAGAGGGAGGCUUGGGAUCGAUCUGGCGCGGGAGGAGGGACAGGACGGCAGCAGCAAAGGAGGUGGGCCGGUCGGCGGCGGCGUGGAGGAGGCGUGGAGGAGGCGGGCCGGUCGGCGGCGGUGAGCGCGGGCAGAGGAGGCCGGUCGGAAGCGGGCGUUGGAGGGGGGAGGGCAAAAGUCUUCCCUUCCCUUCCCUUCUCUUCUCCCUCUCGCUCGCUCAGUCCGCUGCCCUUCCCUUCUCUUCUCUUCUCCUUCUCGCUCGCCCAGUCCGCUGCCGGUACCGGUACCGCGAGCGUCUAGGCGGCCGGGGCAGCAGCGGCGACGCGAGCGUCCACUCGUCGCGGCCCUCUUCGGCGCCCUCCUGCUCGAGUUGCCGCGGGGCCCGCGAGUGACGGUUCUUCGCCUCCUCCUUGAGCUGGACCUGCUGGCGGCGACCUGCUUCUCGGGGCUUUUUAAGGGGGUUGGUGCGGACGCGGUGGCGGAGAAGUGGAAGUUGGUGCCCAACGUCGCCAGUCUCCUGGUUCAACUUCGUAUGAACCGUUUACCCGGAACGGCACUCAGUACCACGUUGUCACUGGAGCUACUCGUCCCGUUACCAGUCUAUGCUCAGUCGUGGUUUCUACUGACCUUCGUGAGUAUUGUCAAAUGGUACGAUCUCGAUACAGUCCGACAUGUUCCCGUCAAUUACUUAUAUGAACACUGUGAAUAUGAGAGUCGUUACGGCUGUUUGUACCAAAUACUACUAUAACCACCAGACUUCGAAAUCUAGCAGCCCCGACGAGAGUAAGCAAGUUAAACGGGGACUAGGAAGGUAAGACGACGACGAGUAAUAAUAGUAUGCUUCCGACUAGAUACAAGAGACAAACAACCCAGGAGGCACAGUAAUAGUUGUUCCUUGUACAUAUAGGAAAGUUCAAGUGACUACACCAAUGGUGAUGUUGUGUGCAGGGAGGUUCCUGGUUCCCACCCGUACUAGAAGAUGUUCCAACAACAGACAUUGAUAAUCCUAUCCUAGUUGAAACGCCACAGGUGUGGCGAUGUUCAGUUCGAUUAUCUCUAUUUACCCAUAGGUUAAAAUCUUUCGUGUGAAUUCUUUGUACGCGCCCACAGAAAUCUAGGAUACCUCGUAAGGAUUAUUACUGGUAGAUAAAUUGAUGGAACCUAGUAACGGUAAUGUUUUACGUCGUACCGUAAGUAUUACAAAUCAAUAAGUAUUUACACCGUAAAUGAAGAAGAGGACCGUACUAUAAAUUCGUACAACGUAUAUGGUUAGACAACUACUAAGUUAAUAACUAAGACUACAUGUUUGUCCGUUUUGGUAAAGGACAAACCUACUACGUGUACCCAUACAAAAACAAUCAAAAGCCACUACAUGCAGCACUUCGUCCUGCCCGCCUGCCUCUGCCACGUGAAGUUGUUCUAGUACCACGCCGAGUUCUUUGAGUCGAUACCCGUGAAGCUGUUCUCGUGAUACUGGGCACGAGCAGCGCGUCUUCCAGACGCAUCUUCCAGACGCAGUCCCAUAUGUACCCACAGUGGUGGUCGGUCGAGCUGCUCGAGCGGCGGCUCUGGCGGCGGCGUGAGUGGCGGAGGGUCGGACUGAUACGGAGACAUGCAAGGGAGAAAGCUAAACAGAGAGGGGAAAACCAAGCAAGGCAAGGCAAGGGGGGAGUGCCGCGGGCACAAGCACAGAGGACGGGACUGCAUACACUCACACACCAAGAAGACGUCGAACGCCGCUCCUAACAACACAGGUUGGACGGCGGUUCACCUUUAUCAGACACACCGCGAGUAUUUAUUUCUCGUAAGAACAUCUUUCCAUGUUCUUUCUUAUCCCUUUGAAGACAGUAAAAGAAACCAGAGAAUUUUUAUUUACCACUAUACCCGACUAUGUAACGAUUUAAUGUACUAUGUUUGAGUGAAGAGAAAAAACUAAAAACCAAAUGAAGCAACACGAUGUUACCGAGAGGAUCCUUACAAGAAGGUACAAAACUACACGUGUUAUUAGGUCUUUCACGUACGUAGGUCUUUGGUUUAUCCUAAAAAACACACAAUAGAAGAGUAUUUAGAACACGAGCAGGUUAUUCUUAUUCCAAACCACCAUAACGAAAACAAACAGUGGGCCAUCUAAAGUCUGAAGUUCGAUCGACGUCAAUAAAGUCCAAUAUACACGUUUAGGAACCACACUGUACUAACCAUUGACUAGUGCUUAUGCAACGUUAGAGUAUACAGAUUAAGAAUUAAAUACACCAUGGUACCAGAUUUUUAACCAGGAUUUCUAUGUACUACAAAAACAUCUUUCAAUUCUGUCAAUAAAACUUUGCCUCCCACAUAAUAUAAUAAAACAAGGAAAAAUUAAACCAAGAUUUCUAUACCAAAGUCUCACUAGUAAAACGUAGUCGGUUCGAACGGCAACAAUGUUUAUCAACAAGACAACAGGAGUUAAGUGAAAGAGCCAAAAAAUUACGGUGUUCGUAAUAACAAAGUAAAAAAAUCAAUAACUAGUACGGUAAAAAGAAAGACGGAAACAUCGACUUUCUAAUCACUCUGACUGAUUUAAGAUUUGUACAAGGUACACUGUAUUUAUCGUAUAACUAAAGUAGAACUUUAUUAGUAUCGACUCCCUGCUCCAAGCAUUGGCUCUCAGUACACGUCUCGACCUCCUUCUUCAACGCUCCGAACCUUGAGAGGAACACUUUCCGAGUUCCUGUCGUCACUCCUGUUACGGAGAAAUCAACAUUAACACUAUGAAGACUACACGUUCAUUUGUGAGGACACUAUGAAGAACACGAUUUUACAACCAACAAUCAUGUCUCUACCACUGUAAUAAACCAAGAGAACCAUAACUAAAGUACUAAACACCAAUUAUGUACUACAUUAUGUUAAGUGUAACG